GCGCGAAAACUUUACAAUGCUGGCAACAGCAAUAAGGGAACCUCGAGUGCCAGGUUACAAAUCUGGCUGUCGAGAUGCCUAAAAAGCAUUUCAUAGCAAGGGCCGGGCAAGACCGGUGCCAGCCGCCGCGGUAACACCGGCGGCUCGAGUGGUAGCCGUUAUUAUUGGGUCUAAAGGGUCUGUAGCCGGCCGGAUAAGUCUCUUGAGAAAUCUGGCAGCUUAACUGUCAGGCUUUCAGGAGAUACUGUCUGGCUCGAGGCCGGGAGAGGUGAGAGGUACUUCAGGGGUAGGGGUGAAACCUUGUAAUCCUUGAAGGACCACCAGUGGCGAAGGCGGCUCACCAGAACGGACCUGACGGCAAGGGACGAAAGCUAGGGGCACGAACCG
rnacentral:rRNA from 1 species